CAACUCUCCUUGCCAAAGCGAAGACCACCACAGAGGCGGCACGGCACUCCUCCUCCUCCUCACCGAAAGACGCGUCGUCGUUUGAAAAAAGCGCGCGCAAAAACAAAACCAACGCGAAGGAAGAAACCAGGCGAAAAUACAAAACAAAAAACAAAAAAAAAGCAACGAGAAAAGUCGCGCGCGAUUCGUAAGCUGUUUACUUUGCCAUUAUAAAUCCGGCGAGCGCUUUCUUUGUGUUUGUGUUGAUUUUGUUGUUCAAACAGUGAAUAAAAAGUAGACGGCAAAGAAGACAAAUAACAGGAACAAAAACAAGCAAAACAACAAUAACAAAAAUUUGCAAAAUUUGCAAAACGGAUGUGUAAGCAUUUCCGUCGCAAGUUCUCGCUCUCGUAGGGUAUCUUUGGAGCCACAAGAAAAAUGGCCUCAGGUGCCGCCAACACAUUGCCCUCUCCGAAUCACCAAUUUCCCGAGCGAUAAGCAAAAGGCGAUUGAGGAACACAACAAGCGAUUACCAAUAAGGGAGAGUCGAUCAGCUGAUUGACAAGUAAUCCGUUUAAAAUGGCGCUGCAACUGGGUAGCGUUUGCCCAGGACCCACGACAGGAGCAUAACCAAUAUCGUCAAGAGAAGCUACAACAGAACAACAAACUGCAACAAGUACAGUCGCCGCCGAUGGUGCCAGUGAUGCUGCUGCUCCUGAUGCUGACACUUCUCACGCGGCCCCUGACGCCUUCUCGAACCAAUGCCGGCCCCGAUCCCGGUAUCGAUCGCUGGUCCGCGAUGGGCUAUCGAUAGUUCACAUUAUGUUACUCGAUAGCUAUGGGGUGCUCUCGUGCUAUAAGGCUAUUCUUCAAUUGUGUUAAUACAAAUGAAACUUUUGUUUGUUUCAGACAGGUAUGUAAUAUAUGUUUAUGAGUUUGAACUGUAAAAAUUUCACUCAUAAUUAUGUUUAAUGACUCAUUUUUAACAAGUAUAAAUUUAUGACCAAAAUGUGUCUUUGAAGAGGCGAACAAAAAAAGUGACCACUCGUGGAGCCAUAUGACGUUAUGCAUCUUGUAGAGAAUUGAAUUUUUGUUCAAAUGUAUAUCAUGGUUAUCUGCGCGUGUUUAAUUCUUAAUUCUUAGACAAAAACAUUAGGACUGCAGCAACGUAUAAAACGGUAAAAUGUGUACGGUGAGGUUUGUAGCUGUUCCGCCGAAAAUUAGGCACUGCCAGUCAAACGCUGCUGAUAAUUCUCUUUGUUAGCUGAUGGAGGGUGGCAAGCAAGAGAAGAGAAUGCACGGAGACUGCUUAGACAGGUCAACGGGAGCUGAGAGAAUGAGAGCGGGGGUUCGAAGGCGAAUUUCGAAGAAAGAGAAGGUAUUAAAUAGAGGGCAUCAGGACGCCAUUAUGUCAUUUCCCAUCGAGAUCUGCAUAGAUAGCGUAUUAUAGUGGGAAAAAAAAAAUUUGUCCAAGUUGAAAAUCUUUCUCAAGUGCCAGUGAAAUAUACGUACAUAUAAUACCCAUAUACUACUUGGAGGCCAUAUACCGCACCAUCGGACAACAGGUCAACUUUCUACGGAGCAGCCGUUCGGGUAAGCAGGGCGAGAGCUAGCAGCAGCUAGGCAAGCUACAGAAAAAUUAUACAUAUGUAUGUAUGUAGGCAUGUGCUUGGAGGAGGCUCGUCAGCCACAUCGAGCCAGCUGGAGCAGCGAAUUCGCCGGAGCUUUGGCCCUCGCUUGGGACCGAAUUGCGAUCAGCAGAAGAAGGGAGUAAAUAGUACCCGGCAGACGGCAGCCGCUUCAACGCGAACCGCGGCAUCGCUUUCGUGUGGGACGGGGAGAAGGAGACGUGGUUACAGUCUAGCAAAUGUCAAAAUUGCCUGAACAUUUUGUAGGGCUGUGGUCAUCUCACAUACCUUCCGGAUUUUUUCUUUCUUAAGCCAGUUUCGUUCUAUCUCCCGUUUUAUUCACCUAUUCUUUCUAUCUCUAUAUCUCUCUGCUUCUCUCUGCCUUCGCUGCUGAGGCCGAGCCCUCAGGCACCGGUAAUCCGAAAGUACCGGUGAUCAGAAGAGAGAAGAGCAAAUCAUGCGAACUGUGUGUGUUUCUUUGUUUUUUUUGUUUGUUUUUGAUUUACAGUGACUAAAUCGGAAGCGCUUCAUCGAGGAGGUCUGUUGUAAGUAAUUUUUGUAGUAUUUAAUUUUAUUGGCGUCCACAAUUUAUGCAUUUGUUGGCCAAGGCUCAAAAGAGAGCCACCAAAGGGCAUGACAUCUCUUUCGCAUGCACACACCC